UACGUAGGGUGCAAGCGUUUAAUCGGAAUUACUGGGCGUAAAGCGUGCGCAGGCGGUUUCUUAAGUCAGAUGUGAAAGCCCCGGGCUUAACCUGGGAACUGCGUUUGAAACUGGGAGACUUGAGUGUGGGCAGAGGGGGGUGGAAUUCCACGUGGUAGCAGUGAAAUGCGUAGAUAUGGUGGAGGAACACCGAUGGCGGAAGGCAGCCCC
rnacentral:rRNA from 1 species